rnacentral:rRNA from 1 species
CCUACGGGAGGCAGCAGUGAGGAAUAUUGGUCAAUGGGCGAGAGCCUGAACCAGCCAAGUCGCGUGAGGGAAGACGGUCCUAUGGAUUGUAAACCUCUUUUGCCGGGGAGCAAAAAGCGGUACGUGUACCGCAUCGAGAGUACCCGGAGAAUAAGCAUCGGCUAACUCCGUGCCAGCAGCCGCGGUAAUACGGAGGAUGCGAGCGUUAUCCGGCUUUAUUGGGUUUAAAGGGUGCGCAGGCGGCGAGUUAAGUCAGCGGUAAAAUUUCGGGGCUCAACCCGGACGAGCCGUUGAUACUGGCUAGCUAGAGGGUGCGAGAAGUAUGCGGAAUGCGUGGUGUAGCGGUGAAAUGCAUAGAUAUCACGCAGAACUCCGAUUGCGAAGGCAGCAUACCGGCGCCCAACUGACGCUCAGGCACGAAAGCGUGGGUAGCGAACAGGAUUAGAUACCCGAGUAGUC